rnacentral:rRNA from 1 species
UAGCGGCAGGCUUAACACAUGCAAGUCGAGGGGUAACAGGAGGUGCUUGCACUUCGCUGACGACCGGCGCACGGGUGCGUAACGCGUAUACAAUCUACCUUUUGCUGAGGGAUAGCCCAGAGAAAUUUGGAUUAAUACCUCAUGGUAUGUAGUAAUGGCAUCAUUAUUAUAUUAAAGGUUACGGCAAAAGAUGAGUAUGCGUUCUAUUAGCUAGAUGGUAAGGUAACGGCUUACCAUGGCGACGAUAGAUAGGGGCCCUGAGAGGGGGAUCCCCCACACUGGUACUGAGACACGGACCAGACUCCUACGGGAGGCAGCAGUGAGGAAUAUUGGACAAUGGGCGCAAGCCUGAUCCAGCCAUGCCGCGUGCAGGAAGACUGCCCUAUGGGUUGUAAACUGCUUUUAUACAGGAAGAAACACUCCCUCGUGAGGGAGCUUGACGGUACUGUAAGAAUAAGGAUCGGCUAACUCCGUGCCAGCAGCCGCGGUAAUACGGAGGAUCCAAGCGUUAUCCGGAAUCAUUGGGUUUAAAGGGUCCGUAGGUGGAUAAUUAAGUCAGAGGUGAAAUCCUGCAGCUCAACUGUAGAAUUGCCUUUGAUACUGGUUAUCUUGAAUUAUUAUGAAGUAGUUAGAAUAUGUAGUGUAGCGGUGAAAUGCAUAGAUAUUACAUAGAAUACCAAUUGCGAAGGCAGAUUACUAAUAAUAUAUUGACACUGAUGGACGAAAGCGUGGGGAGCGAAC